rnacentral:lncRNA from 10 species
CUGAAAGCUUUAGGAAGUUGCUGUCCCUGCAGUUUUCUCUGAAUCAGAAACUUGUUUCCUUCCUGGACACGAAAUGUACUGUAGUGGCAACAGGUUGAUGAGUUGAAAAAGAUUAGAGCAAAGGUUGAAAUACAAGAGGUGGGUUAGGUGGAAUAUUCGUGAAUUCCUAUGAAUUUAACGUGUUAAAUUGUAUUUUCCCAAAAGAUAUACUCUAUCCCUUGGUUUCUAUAAAUGUGACCUUAUUAAGAAACAGGAUCUUUGCAGAUAUAACCAAGUUAAGAUGAGGUGAUUAGGAUGGCCCCUUUAUCCAGUAUGACUGUUGUCCUUAUAAGAUGGGAAGGUAGUCAAGGCAAAACACAGACUCAAGGAGAAAACUAUGUGAAGACAGCAGAGAUUGGAGCCAUGAGCUGUAAAUCAAGGAAUGCUCCAAUCUCUGCAACCACCACCAGAUGCUAGGAAGUGGCAAUGAAGCAUUCCCUGCUAUCGGUUUCAGAGAGAGCAUGGGCCUGCUGAUGCCUUGAUUUUGGACUUCUAGCCCCCAGAAUUGUGAGACAAUAAAUUUUGGUUAUCUUAAAUCACCCAGUUUGUGGUAUAGUACUUUGUAAUGGCAGCCUUAGGAAACUAAUGCAGAGAUAAUGAAAUAUGCCAAGUCAGUGAUAAAAAUGAAGACCAUGUAUUGAGUAUAUUGGUAUUUAGGUUCUUUAAUAUUUUUUCCGAUGUAAAAGAAGCCCAAUCUGUGGAUAUUAUCAAUGAAUGAGGAAACUACAGUUCAUUUAGGUAAAGAAAAAGAUUAGAUACAGAGAGUUUAUUUGGCAGGUAAUUCCAGAAGCAGGGUGAAAGAGUGAAGAGAUAGAGACAGGAGAAAAGGAAACGUCUGUGCAAGGUCUAUCAUAGCACAGGUUUCCAGAGUGGACAGCUGGAACAGACUCCUACUGGGACAUUAUAAGAAACAUUAUAUAUUAAAUGCACUUAAUAACUGUCCUUCUGAAAGAUGGGAGAUGGGACAUCUAUCCAUGAACUCCAUCCCCCAUUGAUUAGGAGUUGCUCUAACGGCAUCAACCCCAUGCAUGCCAAGGCUGCAACUAAGCUCAAGCUGAGAGACCUCUCCUUGCUUUGGAGAGACCCCUGAAGCAAACAAACAAACAAGAAACAGACAAGGCAGGUGCUUGCGGAUGUAAAUCCAAGGGUAGGUCCAGAUUAAUUUAAACUGGUUGGAUAUCGCAUCCCUAGGGUUACAUUGAAAACGGGGACUGGCUCAAGACAAAUGUGUGACUCAUUUAUAACCAAUAAUAGAAACAAUUUUCAUCGGUUGAUGGGAGAAAAGUCUGUUUUGUCUGUUGGGCUUGGAAACAUGGAACGUAAGGUCUGGAGCAUCAGAAUCCAUUUGUGGCCAUGAGAGAAAUAUCAACACAGGGGAAAUGAGCUGCAAGAGAAAGAGAGAAAAGCUGGACCCUCGGGAUCUCAUUUGAGCUGAUGGAGUUCAUAGUGACUAAAGACAGACUGGCAGCCUGAAUUUUUAGCUCCUGCAAGCCUAUAUAUUUCCUAUUUACUAAAUCAGCUUGAGUUGGGUUUCCAAUGGAACGACCUUUGAUUCUGUGUUAAUCAGAGUUUGGCCCCAGACCAGCAGCAUCAGCAUCACUGGAAGCUUGUUACAAAUGCAGAUUCUCAGGCCUGACCGCAGAUCUGCUGACUUCCUGAGUGUGAGGCUCAGGAACCUGUAUUUAAGAAGCCUCCCAGGUGAUUCUUAUGCAUGCUAAACUUUCAGAACUACUGCCCACCAGAAGCCAACAUCAUUGGCAAAAGAAAGAAAAAAGCAUCAGCAUCUAAAAAACAAAACAA